GCCGAAGUGGCGGAAUGGCAGACGCGCUGCGUUCAGGGCGCAGUGCCCUUAAGGGCAUGAGGGUUCAAAUCCCUCCUUCGGCACCA
rnacentral:tRNA from 1 species